GUGGGGAAUAUUGGACAAUGGGCGCAAGCCUGAUCCAGCCAUGCCGCGUGAGUGAUGAAGGCCUUAGGGUUGUAAAGCUCUUUCGUCAGGGAAGAUAAUGACGGUACCUGAAGAAGAAGCCACGGCUAACUUCGUGCCAGCAGCCGCGGUAAUACGAAGGGGGCUAGCGUUGCUCGGAAUCACUGGGCGUAAAGCGCACGUAGGCGGCUUUCUAAGACAGGGGUGAAAUCCUGGAGCUCAACUCCAGAACUGCCUUUGAUACUGGAGAGCUUGAGUUCGGGAGAGGUGAAUGGAACUGCGAGUGUAGAGGUGAAAUUCGUAGAUAUUCGCAAGAACACCAGUGGCGAAGGCGGCUCACUGGCCCGAUACUGACGCUGAGGUGCGAAAGCGUGGGGAGCAAACAGGAUUAGAAACCCUAGUAGUCC
rnacentral:rRNA from 1 species